AGUGAACGCUGGCGGUAGGCCUAACACAUGCAAGUCGAACGGCAGCACAGUAAGAGCUUGCUCUUACGGGUGGCGAGUGGCGGACGGGUGAGGAAUACAUCGGAAUCUACUUUUUCGUGGGGGAUAACGUAGGGAAACUUACGCUAAUACCGCAUACGACCUACGGGUGAAAGCAGGGGAUCUUCGGACCUUGCGCGAUUGAAUGAGCCGAUGUCGGAUUAGCUAGUUGGCGGGGUAAAGGCCCACCAAGGCGAGGAUCCGUAGCUGGUCUGAGAGGAUGAUCAGCCACACUGGAACUGAGACACGGUCCAGACUCCUACGGGAGGCAGCAGUGGGGAAUAUUGGACAAUGGGCGCAAGCCUGAUCCAGCCAUACCGCGUGGGUGAAGAAGGCCUUCGGGUUGUAAAGCCCUUUUGUUGGGAAAGAAAAGCAGCAGGUUAAUACCCCGCUGUUCUGACGGUACCCAAAGAAUAAGCACCGGCUAACUUC
rnacentral:rRNA from 1 species